rnacentral:rRNA from 1 species
AGAGUUUGAUCCUGGCUCAGGAUGAACGCUGGCGGUGUGCCUAAUACAUGCAAGUCGAACGAAGACCCUUGUACUCGUACGAGGAAUUCUUAGUGGCGAACGGGUGAGUAUCGCGUUGGUGACCUGCCCCGAAGUGGGGGACAACAGUCCGAAAGGACUGCUAAUACCCCAUGUGGCCGUGAUAAUUAGAAAGUCACGACUAAGGGAGUAAUCCGCUUCGGGAGGGGCCUGCGUCCCAUCAGCUAGUUGGUAAGGUAAUGGCUUACCAAGGCUACGACGGGUAGGGGACCUGAGAGGGUGGCCCCCCACACUGGUACUGAAACACGGACCAGACACCUACGGGUGGCAGCAGUAGGGAAUAUUGCACAAUGGGCGAAAGCCUGAUGCAGCAACACCGCGUGUGUGAUGAAGGCCUUCGGGUCGUAAAGCACUUUUAUGGGGGAAGAGGAAGGACGGUACCUCAUGAAUAAGGAUCGGCUAACUACGUGCCAGCAGCCGCGGUAACACGUAGGAUCCAAGCGUUAUCCGGAUUUACUGGGCGUAAAGCGCGUGUAGGCGGCUUAGUAAGUUGGAUGUGAAAGCUCCCGGCCCAACCGGGAGACGUCGUUCAAUACUGCUAGGCUUGAGGACGAUAGAGGAAGGUGGAAUUCCGGGUGUAGUGGU